rnacentral:rRNA from 1 species
AUUGAACGCUGGCGGCAGGCCUAACACAUGCAAGUCGAGCGAGCGGCGGACGGGUGAGUAAUGCCUGGGAAUUGCCCAGUCGAGGGGGAUAACAGUUGGAAACGACUGCUAAUACCGCAUACGAUUGGAUUGCCCAUGUGGGGUUAGCUAGUUGGUGAGGUAAUGGCUAACAAAGGCGACUAUCCCUAGCUGGUCUGAGAGGAGGAUGAGCCACACUGGAACUGAGACACGGCCCAGACUCCUACGGGAGGAAGCAGUGGGGAAUAUUGCACAAGGGGGGAAACCCUGAUGCAGCCAUGCCGCGUGUGUGAAGAAGGCCUUCGGGUUGUAAAGCACUUUCAGCGAGGAGGCGUUACUCGCAGAAGAAGCACCGGCUAACUCUGUGCCAGCAGCCGCGGUAAUAC